AUAAGUAAACAAUUGAAUUGGAUUGUUGGACUAGCAAGUUUAGGAACUGCACAAAACUCUGUUUACGUAGAUGGAUAAAUCCAGCAAAGGUUUAAAGAUAAUUUCAUCUAUGUGUCAUUCAAAGUUUGAAGAAAUCCAACUGAUACACCAGCUGUUUGAGCCCAUGCUUGUUGGAUAACUUGCCCCAACUGUUAUGUCUUAGAUAUUUUCACAGAUAACAAUCUCUGAAAGGUACCAUACUCACAGAUUCGUUAUGCGCUUAAUGUAUCCAUCAAAAAAAGUAAACCCUAGGGCAGAAACAAGAAUUUCAGCCCUUGAAAUUUAAAUUGUUCACAAAUCUCCCUCAAAAAAAGGGAAAAAAAUAUCUUUGGUCCUCUCAGUCUGAUUCUCUUUCAUUCUCAACUUGACAUUGGCGCCUCCUAAUUCAAAUCUAGUUCCAUCCUCGGCCAAUCCAACAUGGUAAGCACAAGAAUUGGAGAUAGUAUUUCCAUAAAGCAGAUAUGUGGGUCAAUAUUUGACUGCUAUGCAAUAAGUUUAUUUUUUGGCAUAUAAGAUUUAAUAAACUUGAUUCCUGCAUUCAUCUUGCAGCAAUAUACAAUAAACAGACAGAAGGGAAGAAUAAUAAAAUUUUCAGGUGAAAUAUAUAAAUAGUUUUAAAAUAUUCCUAGAAUAUAAUGCCAAAGCAAAAAGUUGUUGCAGAAAACUUAUAUUUGGGCAUACAGGGCAUUCAAUUGUUUAUGAUAGAAAAUCAUUCUAGAAUUAUCUCUGGGGCUGUAAAGUUUGAACCCUAGUAAGAACCAAAUGAACAAAAGAUCCUUUUAUCCCCUGAUUUUCAAAUUUGCAAAAUCGUUUCAAAUCUUUAUGCAUUUUGGUAUCUUGUGGAUGAGGAAGGGUGGUUGGGGGGUGGGGGGCUAUGUUUUGUUGGGGGGGGGAGGGGAGAGAUGGGGGUUGUUGGUUGUUGUGGUGGGUGUUGUGUGGGGGGAUGUGUGGUUAUUCAAGCCACGGUAUUUCCACCUGAUUAGGAGUCCUUAACAACAUUUAUCAUCAUAUAAAAGCAGAAAAUUAUCUGAUACCAAGUAAGAUAAUAAACAAAAAAAUAUAUAAUUAAUAAUUAAACAAACAAAAACACAAUUUAGAAAUAAGAAAAAAUCUUCAAAAGUUUUAAUUUCACAUGCAGCAUCAUUUAAUGACAUUUUUUUUAAACUUUCUUUUGAUUGAUUGAACUAAUAAGAAUCAAAUUCAAGGCUGCCUUUCUCAUUCAAAAGCAAACUGUGCUUUGCUUCAGUUAGAAAUGGAAAAGCAUAGGCACCUAUGCAGCAUACAUGUGCCUACUGCCAACAUCAGGUGAGAUUUGUCCAGGUAAGCAGGUUCAUUUAAGAGAGAAAAGAAAAAAUAAAGUGAUAAAGGGCAGAAUUUUUUACUACCUACUAACGGGGUCUUUUAUUAAAGGAAAUACCUAAUUGAAAAAAAAAAAUUAUGAACUAAUGGUAUCUAGUUAAGUUACUGUUGAAUUUCCUUGAGAAUAAUUUUGAACAUUUCUACUAUAAUAACACAAAAGCCUUCUUUUUUGAAUCAUGAAAAUUAAUAAUUUAUGUAAAUAAAAAUUAUUUGUAAAAAAUAAUUUAGAAUAAAUUGAUAAUUCUAACCUCAUCAUCAACUAAAAUUAAGAUGUCACUAACAAAUAGUAUGAUUAAAAGAUACAAUUAAUAUGCAUAUGAUAUAAUCAAAAUCACAAUUAUUAUGGAAUAUUUAUUUUGCUAUGGUUAUCGAUAGAGUUUAUAUGUGUAUGAGUCCAAAU
rnacentral:misc_RNA from 1 species